rnacentral:rRNA from 1 species
CCGCGUGAGGGCAUGACGGCCUUAGGGUUGUAAACCUCUUUUCAGUAGGGAAGAAGGGAAAGUGAGCGGUACCUGCAGAAGAAAGCGCCGGCUAACUACGUGCCAGCAGCCGCGGUAAUACGUAGGGCACAAGCGUUAUCCGGAAUUAUUGGGCGUAAAGAGCUCGUAGGGCGGUUUGUCACGUCUGCCGUGAAAGUCCGGGGCUCAACUCCGGAUCUACGGUGGGUACGGGCAGACUAGAGUGAUGUAGGGGAGACUGAAAUUCCCUGGUGUAGCGGUGAAAUGCGCAGAUAUCAGGAGGAACACCGAUGGCGAAAGGCAGGUCUCUGGGCAUUAACUGACGCUGAGGAGCGAAAGCAUGGGGAGCGAACAGGAUUAGAUACCCUGGUAGUCCAUGCCGUAAACGUUGGGCAC